GUUUGGUCCAGGCCCUUGUGGAGGGCACAGUCUGGCAUGGAGGCUGUUAAAAGGCACAGUGAACCCCACGGUGGUGUGGUGCUGGGGACACAGGCAAGCUGCAGCACUGAGGAUGAAGAAGUCCUGACUUGGCCUCAAAGUCAGCAUUGACUUCCUAGAAGAGGUACCAGCUAAAUGGUGGUGAGAAGGCUGGGUAAGAUUUAGCCAUAGGGUGAUGCUGGGAAGAGUUUCAGGCAGAGGGAACGAUUUAUGCAAAAGCCCAAUGAAAAUAGCUCCCCCUGGCUGUGGCUUAGGAGUCCCUUCCCUUAUUUUGGGGUAUCCCCUGAUAAGAUCCAGGGAUCCUGUGACUUUUUCCUGGGGGACUCUGUGACUGGAGGGCCUCUCUCACUGGUCCUCCGUGGGGCUGAGGGCAUGAGUGGCUGCACUGACCGUGUCCUUGGGCCUGAGAGCUCUGUCUAGCAAGUGGGAGCUGGCAGGGUGCCCUGCCCCAUACCCAGCUGCUAAACUUCUUCCCUCCCUGUUUCAUGCCCCUCAGGAGGAGGUAUCCGAGAGCAGCUCGAGCGCAGACCCCCUGCCUAAUGGCUACCUCCCUGAUUCAUCGUCUGUGUCCCAUGGGCCAGUGGCAGGGGUGACAGGUGGUCCCCCAGCACUUGUGCACUCUAGUGCACUCCCAGACCCCAACAUGCUGGUGUCCGACUGCACAGCUUCCUCCUCGGACCUGGGCUCGGCCAUCGACAAGAUCAUCGAGUCCACCAUCGGGCCCGACCUCAUCCAGAGCUGCAUCACUGUGACCAGUGCCGAGGAUGGCGGGGCCGAGACCACACGGUACCUGAUCCUGCAGGGCCCAGAUGAUGGAGCCCCGAUGACAUCACCAAUGUCCAGUUCCACCUUGGCCCACAGCCUAGCAGCCAUUGAGGCCCUGGCAGAUGGCCCCACAUCCACAUCCACAUGCCUGGAGCCACCUGAGGAGGAGGCACAGGGUCGGCCCAGCUCCCCAGUGCAGCUGCCCCCAGCCUCUGGUGCCGAAGAACCAGACCUGCAGAGCCUGGAGGCCAUGAUGGAGGUGGUGGUGGUGCAGCAGUUCAAGUGCAAGAUGUGCCAGUACCGGAGCAGCACCAAGGCCACACUGCUGCGCCACAUGCGGGAGCGCCACUUCCGUCCAGUAGCAGCAGCCGCAGCAGCAGCUGGUAAAAAAGGACGUCUACGGAAGUGGAGCACCUCCACCAAGACCCAAGAGGAAGAAGGACAAGAGGAGGAGGACGAUGACGACAUUGUAGACGCUGGAGCCAUUGAUGACCUGGAGGAGGAUAGUGACUAUAAUCCAGCUGAGGAUGAGCCCCGAGGCCGGCAGCUUCGGCUCCAGCGCCCCACCCCCAGUACCCCAAG
rnacentral:sRNA from 1 species